CCUACGGGUGGCAGCAGUGAGGAAUAUUGGUCAAUGGCCGGAAGGCUGAACCAGCCAUGCCGCGUGAAGGUCAGUGCCCUAUGGGCGUUAAACUUCUUUUGUGCGGGAGCAAUAAUGGUCACGUGUGGCCAGACGAGAGUACCGUACGAAUAAGCAUCGGCUAACUCCGUGCCAGCAGCCGCGGUAAUACGGGGGAUGCAAGCGUUAUCCGGAAUUAUUGGGGUUAAAGGGUGCGUAGGCUGUGAGGUAAGUCAGCGGUGAAAUGCCCCCGCUCAACGGGGGGAAGUGCCAUUGAUACUGACUUGCUUGAAUGCGAAUGCCGUGGGAUGCAUGUGUGGUCUAGCGGUGAAAUGCAUAGAUAGCACACAGAACACGUAUUGGGAAGGCAUCUCACGAAUCCGCGAUUGACGCGGAUGCACGACAGCGUGGGUAUCACACAGGAUUAGAUACCCCAGUAGUC
rnacentral:rRNA from 1 species